GACGAACGCUGGCGGCGUGCUUAACACAUGCAAGUCGAACGGCAAGGCCCUGCUUUUGUGGGGUGCUCGAGUGGCGAACGGGUGAGUAACACGUGAGUAACCUGCCCUUGUCUUUGGGAUAACUUCAGGAAACUGGGGCUACUACCGGAUCGGAGCCCCUGCUGCAUGGUGGGCGUUGGAACGUUUCGGCGGUUGGGGAUGGACUCGCGGCUUAUCAGCUUGUUGGUGGGGUAGUGGCUUACCAAGGCUUUGACGGGUAGCCGGCCUGAGAGGGUGACCGGCCACAUUGGGACUGAGAUACGGACCAGAGUCCUACGGGAGGCAGCAGUGGGGAAUAUUGCACAAUGGGCGGAAGCCGGAUGCAGCAACGCCGCGGGCGGGAUGACGGCCUUCGGGUUGUAAACCGCUGUCGCCUGUGACGAAGCGUGAGUGACGGUAAUGGGUAAAGAAGCACCGGCUAACUACGUG
rnacentral:rRNA from 1 species